rnacentral:rRNA from 1 species
UGAGGCUCGAAGGCUAGGGGAGCAAAAGGGAUUAGAUACCCCUGUAGUCCUAGCAGUAAACGGUGUGCGCUUGGUGUGAGAGGAUUCGACCCCCCUCGUGCCGGAGCUAACGCGUUAAGCGCACCGCCUGGGAAGUACGGCCGCAAGGCUAAAACUCAAGGAAAUUGACGGGGACCCGCACAAGCGGUGGAGUAUGUGGCUUAAUUCGAUGCAACGCGAAGAACCUUACCAAGGCUUGACAUGGAUUUCUAAGCACGUGAAAGCGUGUGACCCUUCGGGGGACUUCCACAGGUGCUGCAUGGCCGUCGUCAGCUCGUGUCGUGAGAUGUUGGGUUAAGUCCCGCAACGAGCGCAACCCCUGUGAUUAGUUGCCAGCACGUAAUGGUGGGGACUCUAGUCAGACUGCCCAGAUCAACUGGGAGGAAGGUGGGGACGACGUCAGGUCAGUAUGGCCCUUACGCCUUGGGCUGCACACGUACUACAAUGCCCAGCACAAUGAGAACCGAGACCGCGAGGUGGAGGAAAUCUAUAAAACUGGGCCCAGUUCGGAUUGGGGGCUGCAACUCGCCUCCAUGAAGCCGGAAUCGCUAGUAAUGCUGCAUCAGCUACGGCAGCGUGAAUACGUUCCCGGGUCUUGUACACACCGCCCGUCACAUCAUGGAAGCCGGUAGCACCCGAAGUAUCGUACGUCCUAAGGAAGG